rnacentral:rRNA from 1 species
AUGGCAGCAACUCACCAAAUUCUCCCCGUCUCCAUGUACAUCAUUUGUCUCUGCUACUUGCUGUCGUUGGCCAGUGCACCUCCGGGUCUGGCCACCGCGCUCUCCUUCAACUUCAACUUCUCCAGCAGCAACUCCGUCGACCCCUGCGACACGGAGCUGAGGUGCGAACGUGACGCGCGCAUGGGCUCCGGCGCCAUCGACCUAACGAAGAACGAGCUCAGAAACAACAUAUACAGCGCCGGCCGGGCGUCGUAUGGUCGCCCGGUGCCGCUGUGGAACAACGCCACCGGUGAGGUGGCCAGCUUCUCCUCCAACUUCACGUUCCAGAUCAGGCCCCAAGACGAGCCCUCCGAUCCUGUUUGUGACGGCAGCGGCGGCAUGGGUGACGGUAUGGCUUUCUUUCUGGCACGCUACCCGUCCAGGAUCCCUCCCAACAGCUACGGCAUGAAUCUCGCCCUCUUCAAUGACAGCAACAAUUUAAACGCCACCGGCGAUGACCGUGUAGUCGCGGUGGAGUUCGACACCUACCUCAGCUCCUCCAUAGACCACAGCAACAACCACGUCGGCAUAGACGUCAACUCCAUCAACUCCAAAGCCUACAAAAACGUGACCACGCGCCUGGGCUCCAACAACGCAGUUGUGACUGCCGAGGUCACCUACGACAACCGUACGGGUGUUCUAGUCGCUCGCCUCCAGAUCAGCGGCGACGGGGAGUGGUACACAGUGAACACACCGGUGGACAUCAAGAAGGAUUUGCCCCAGCAGGUUGCGGUCGGCUUCUCUGGAGCAAGUGGUGUGUGCAUCGACCUACAUCAGGUGUUGUCUUGGUCGUUUAGCUCCACUCUAGUAGACGCCACUGUACAAGCUACCAAUUCACGCCGGCUACGACAGCUAGUGCCCGUGCUGGUGCCUUCCAUGGUAGUAGCUUUUCUUGCUUUGCUCUGCACCGUCGCCAUCCUAGUCUAUCGGCGAGGCAAAUGGAAUUCUGACGGCGGCGAAGAACAUGAUCAAGCUGAGUUUGAGAGAGGAGUGGGCCCUAGGCGAUACUCCUACCGUGAGCUUGCCGCUGCCACCAAGGGCUUUGCAGAGGAGGAGAAACUCGGGCAUGGGGGCUUCGGCAAUGUCUAUCAGGGCAGCCUGAGCGACCAAGACGGUCCGGUGGCCAUCAAGAUGCUCUCCGCAGAAUCAUCUGCACAAGGGAGGAAAGAGUUCGAGUCGGAAGUGAAGAUCAUAAGCCGGCUGAGGCACCGGAACCUUGUGCACUUGUUAGGUUGGUCAGAUAGCCCCAAAGGGCUCUUGCUCAUCUACCAACUCGUGCCCGAAGGCAGCCUUGACCGACAUAUACACACCAGCUGUCUCACUUGGGCACAAAGAUACAAAAUUAUCAUUGGCCUGGGAUCUGCACUACGCUAUCUUCACAUGGAGUGGGAUCAAUGCGUGCUGCACGGCGACAUCAAACCCAGCAACAUCCUCCUCGACUCAUCGUGCAACACAAAGUUGGGGGAUUUCGGGCUGGCGAGGCUUGUGGACCAUGGAGCCGGGCCACGGACCACCCAGGUUGUCAUGGGCACCGCAGGGUACAUAGACCCGGAGUUCAUCCGCACACGCCGGCCAACCACAGAAUCUGACAUCUAUAGCUUCGGCAUGGUUCUGCUGGAGGUCGUGUCCAGCAGGCGGCCGGACAUGGACAUCGACACGGAGCAACCAGCUGCAGCAGUUGACAAAGUGGCCAUCCCGCUUCUCAAGUGGGUUUGGGACCUGUAUGAGAAGAGUGCCAUCGUCGAGGCAGUGGACAGAAGACUAAAGGGAGACGAGCAGCUCAGCGACGGCCAUGAUGGUAAGUGGCAGGUGCACCGCGCGCUGGUUGUCGGGCUGUGGUGCACGCACCCUGACCCGAGCGUGCGGCCAUCCGUCGUGCAGUUCAUGAACGUCUUGCAGUUGAAGGAAGUCACACUGCCGAUCCUGUCACGGCCGGGGCCAUCGUUCUAUAUUUUCCAUGGGUCACAUGGCUACAAUGCAUCGUCGUCCUCAUCGGCCAACGUUUGCAGCGAUGUAUCUUGGGCCAGCAGUGGCAGAUGA